ACAAUUGUCCAAUCAGCGGACAGCAGCUGCACCCUCGUGGGCGUAACACACCAAGAAGAGAGGACUACAGCGUGUGGACAUGACAAAAGCCUGCAGGAAGCAGGACACGCAUGCGCACAUUCCAGCUUUUUACAGCAAGGAGAAUCAACCCACAUGGACACACAUUUAGG